CAGGCUUUGGGCCAGAGGCAGCACAUUGUGAAAGCCCGGCUGCUGGAAGGGCUCCUAUCUGCCCCCCUGCUGCGGUGCGCAACGGACAGCUUCAACGGCAGCCACUCGAACCCUCAGAUCGUACUCUUUUAUCUCCAUGAGGGACUCCUGAUGUUGUUACUGAUGUAUGUGAUUACAGGGAUUAUCUCCGAGGGAGCCAAUUACAUCGGCAUUCAUCCAGUUGUAUAUCCCACUGCAGAAUACCAGCUGCUUUGCUGUACAAACAGUCCAGCAGCACAAGCGCGCACUGAAGUGAUGAGCAUCGAGAGGCACAACGUGUUACAAGCUUUUCUAUCUUCCUACUAAUAAACUCAAG
rnacentral:lncRNA from 1 species